rnacentral:rRNA from 1 species
CGAAAGGGGUAUGCGAUGGAAAAUUGGUUAAUAUUCCAAUACCAAUUAUUAUGUGCGAUGGAAGGACGCUUAAAGUUAGUGGAGCUAACUGAUGGAAUAGUUAGUCUAAGGUCGUAGGUUGAGUUAUGGGCAAAUCCGUAACUCUUUAUCCGAAAGCUUAAAGGCUUACAAAGCUCUUCGGAGUAGCGUAAGAAUCCAUGAUACUAUAGAGCCAAGAAAAGUUUCUAAGUUUAGUAAUAAUUGCCCGUACCGUAA